CUACGGGGUGCUGCAGUGGGGAAUAUUGCACAAUGGGCGCAAGCCUGAUGCAGCCAUGCCGCGUGUAUGAAGAAGGCCUUCGGGUUGUAAAGUACUUUCAGCGGGGAGGAAGGGAGUAAAGUUAAUACCUUUGCUCAUUGACGUUACCCGCAGAAGAAGCACCGGCUAACUCCGUGCCAGCAGCCGCGGUAAUACGGAGGGUGCAAGCGUUAAUCGGAAUUACUGGGCGUAAAGCGCACGCAGGCGGUUUGUUAAGUCAGAUGUGAAAUCCCCGGGCUCAACCUGGGAACUGCAUCUGAUACUGGCAAGCCUGAGUCUCGUAGAGGGGGGUAGAAUUCCAGGUGUAGCGGUGAAAUGCGUAGAGAUCUGGAGGAAUACCGGUGGCGAAGGCGGCCCCCUGGACGAAGACUGACGCUCGGGUGCGAAAGCGUGGGGAGCAAACAGGAUUAGAUACCCCCGUAGUC
rnacentral:rRNA from 1 species